CGCUACAGACCUUCUCAUUGGCCACGUCACGUCGGAGGGGGAGAAGCGAAGAGCAGGCAUUCCUCAGCGCCUCAGACCUCCACCACACCGACACCACCUCUCCUCCGCUCAGGAACACCACCCUCUUACCGCUAUCAACAUGAUGUUCCGGAGCGCCGCUGCUCUCGUGCUCCUCUCCCUGGCGCUCUCCACUGCGGAGGUAAGUUUAGUUAAACGUCACUUUAUGUAUAGACGGACCUUUGGAUGGUAAUUCGUUGAAGGACUGCUGGUGAAAAUCGCUGAUCGCGUUCAGUAGGUAUGGUUUUCUGGUCUCCACGGCCGAACCUAAACUAGUCCGCCUGACCUCACCUCUGGAUCCGUCCGUCCGUCUGCUGGGCUGAUGAGACGGAGUUAUUACCCAUGGGUUCGGUUUAUUAAGAUCAGUUCAACCCAAUCAUUUCAUCUUCCACAUGAAAUUAAUUCAGACCAUAAACUUACCUGAUAGACCCACCGCUACUGACUAAGUAGCCCUGACUGCAUAGCUGCUCGGUGACAUCACGACAGGAAACCCAAAGGAGAGAAGGUUAACUGUUACAUGUUUAUAUGCAUGUGACGUGAUGUCAUUUCAAGAUGUCACAUGUUGACUCUAACUUAACUUUGACCUCCACAGCUAAAAACCCAACAAAAAAAGCAGUCCAAAUUAAUUUUUUGACAUGAUCAAAAUUAUUAUAGACAGCUGCAAUGCGAUGGGAGGAGGGGUUUAAUGUGUAAUACAAGCUGUGUGUGUGUGUGUGUGUGUGUGUGUGUGUGUGUGUGUGUGUGUGUGUGUGUGUGUGUGUGUGUGUGUGUGUGUGUGUGUGUGUGUGUGUGUGUGUGUGCGUGUGCGUGCGUGUGUGUGAGUGUGUGUUUGAGGGGUGGUCUAUGCUAAGCUCUAAGCAAAGUUCCCACAAAACGAAUGUAAUUGCCGACCAAUCAGACACACACACAUACACACACACACACAAAUACACACAUCCCUGUGGAUGACGCAGUGAGUGCCUCUGGUCAGAAGGUUUGUUUCCUUUGAGGGCGUAUAGACCCAUGAGAGCGUCUCACAUCCCCCAGACUGCCACCUCGGCCCUCCAGUGUGAGGUUAUCUGUUUAAAGAUCUGAAGAAACCGAGGUACAAACAGGAACUAACUAAGUUAUGUAAACACACACACACGCAUGACGCACGCACACACACACACACACACACACACACACACACACACACACACACACACACACACACACACACACACACACACACACACACACACACACAAACACCUACACACACACACAAACA